rnacentral:lncRNA from 1 species
UAUUUGGGACUACAGAUUAGAUUCCGGGAGAUCCCCCUGCAUAUUUACUUUGGGACUACGGGUUAGAUUCUCGGGAGAUUCGGCUACACAUUUACUUUGGGACUACGAGUUAGAUUCUCGGGAGAUCCCCCUGCACAUUUACUUUGGACUACGGGAUAGAUUCCCGGGAAAUCCCCAUGCACAUUUACUUUGGGACUAUGGGUUAGAUUCCCGGGAGAUCCCCAUUCAUAUUUACUUGGGACUAUAGGUCAGAUUCUCGGGAGAUCCCCCUGCACAUCAAUAUUAUGGACUACAUAAUAGUAUCUUGAGAGAUCCUCAUUACUGGUAUUGAUAUGGAAAUCGACUAUAGGACGGUAUCCUGGGAGAUCCUCGUUAUUGAUAUUAAUAUGUAAAUGGACUACCAGACAGUAUCCUGAGAGAUCCUCGUCAUUGGUAUUGACAUGGUGAUGGACUACAAGAUGGUAUCCUAGGAGGUCCUCGUUAUUGGUAUUAAUAUGGAAAUGGAUUAUAGGACAAUAUCUUGGGGGUCCUUGUAGUUGGUACGGAUAUUAAGUUGUUAUACUCUGUGUUAUCUUAUCCUCUGUGUGUUAAUUACUGUUUCUGUAACCUGACUUACUUAAUAGUUAUAUUCCAUAAAUUCUGCUUAUUUCAUACUGUUGUCAGCUUUAUUAUUAUGUUUUAUCUCAGUAGGGCCCUGACCUUCCUCGUCACU